rnacentral:rRNA from 1 species
UACGAAGGGGGCUAGCGUUGUUCGGAAUUACUGGGCGUAAAGCGCGCGCAGGCGGCUAUCCAAGUCAGGGGUGAAAGCCCGCGGCUCAACCGCGGAAUUGCCCUUGAGACUGUAUCGCUUGAACACGGGAGAGGUGAGUGGAAUUCCGAGUGUAGAGGUGAAAUUCGUAGAUAUUCGGAAGAACACCAGUGGCGAAGGCGGCUUCCUGGACCAAUACUGACGAUCAGGUGCGAAAGCGUGGGGAGCAAACAGG